CCAAACGAACCCCUAGAGCAAACCUGAGCUGUCUCUUUCAUCUCAGCACGCGUUCCAGCUCAUAAUAGCUAUUUCUGGCAAAGAUUUAAUGGCUUUUUUGACUCGUAUAACCUUUGCUCGACCAUUUGAGCAAAGGCUUUAAUGUUUUGUCUCCUUCAACAGCUUUGCAAACGGUAACAUGCCCUUUUCUUCUUUUUCUUUCAAUUUUACUAGACUUCUACAGGAAGAUUCAGAUUUCAAGGGCUUCUAUAUGAAUUUGAGUUGAGAUUUGGAUUCCAAGGCUAUUUUCUAACUGUCCCAUAUCGGUUGAAGUCCAAAAACUGGCACUACAAGAAAACAUGAAAUUAGCUAUGGACAAAAUUUCGUAGCUAAACAGCAAAAUCCAUGCUAAUAUCAUUUAGCUACGGAUUAGCGAUGGAUUAUAAGAAAAUCUAAUUAGCGAGGAACUAUUUAGCGACGGAUUAGCCGGGAUUACCGACAAAUGCCGUAGCUAAUUCCAUGUUCUCUUGUAGUGUGGGGCUUUUGUUCAACUAUAAAUAGAAGCCCUUUCCCUUCAUUUAUAUAAAAAAAAAGGUUCUGAGACCAAAAAAUUCGUUCUUACACCAAUAGUAGGUUUUUCACAACCCCUAGAGUGAGAACACUCAGGAACCCAGCUAAGCCGUUGAGUUUCGAGAAAUUCUCAUUCAUAGUCUAAUUUUUGGAAGUCAUUUCCGCUCGUUGGAAAUCGACUCCGGUGAAAGAGUGUUUGUCGUUAACCCUCGUUGCCCCCAUCACUGCCCGACAAAAGGCUUGAUGAUACACUUGGAGACAAGACACUGUUGCAUUUGAGAUGCAUUUUAUAUGUCAAGAAACUGUGGGAUUGAUGCUACACUUAGGACGUUUCCUAGAAUAAUAAGAAUCAUAUGCCACAUUUAUGUCCCUAGUACUGCACUCUGUUUGUUGCUACUCCCUUUUGAGAUACCAUACUUGGGGCCAAUGCAAAAAAAAAUAAAAAAAUUAAGGCCAUGCCUUGUCCAGAAAGGUUACCCCUCUGUUUGGGCAAAGAUGAUCUCACAUUGAUAUCACGAGGUAGGAACCGAUAUGCGCCUGGCAAGGCAACUAGAAUGGUCACUAGUUUGCAGCCGUGACAUGAUUCAGGUUUCUCUGCCAUAUUCUGAACCGUGAGUCUGAACCUCCGUAAUCAUAGCUACCAAAGUUUGAUACGAGUCCGAGGGAUAUUAUUUAUAUUCAUAAACAUCACCCUGUGGGGUGGCGUAUCAUUUGACUAACUAUUUUCACUUCAUUCUUGCGAGGUACAUCUAAUCAAUAUGGGUCUGUGAGAUGAGAUUCUACCAAAGACGGAAGUGAAGUAAAGUUGAAGGCCCGACAGCUCGGAUGAAGGACUACAAGAGCAUAGAAGAACGAGAACAAGGCUGCUGAAUGAUUUGGGCCCAAGGCCGUAAAAAGCUAAACUUUUCUUCCCCUUCUUGUAGUAUAGUUUUACAUUAUUUUCUGUUCGAACAUGAAAAUAAAUUUGUAUAGAUAUUGAAACCCCUACGGGUUAGAACCUAGGAUUUAGGUACACGAUAUUUCAAAACUGUAUCCAAAUGAUAAAAGAGUUGUAUUCCACUUGAUUAAAAUAAAUAAAAGUGAGUAUAUUUUUCUUGCAAAAA